UUCCUCUCGGUCUUUCCCCAUCUACCAUGGCGGGUCUCAGUGCUUCUCUCCGGCCCCAACCACCGUCUUCCGCAUUCGCCGCCGCCUCCUUCGCCACUAAUCUAGUUCUCCUCUCACUCUGCAGCCCAUCUCCCUUGCGCUCUUCGCCUUCGUCCUCCAAUGGCACAGCGGGGGAGUCGACGAUCCAAUAUCACGGUGGUCCCCCGAGGAGUCGCGCAAGUUUCUGAGAAUGGAUAGCUCGCCUCUGGCCACCGUGGGCCAGUCCUCGGAUUGUUCCCUGCUUUUCCGUCGGAAUUCAGCGACUUUUUCUUACUACAGGGACUAGACCCAAUUCUGAAUCAGAUCUCAAGUCAAAGGUCUGAUUUUUUUGCUCUUUUUUGUUUCGUCGUCGUUUUCAAAGUGCUCUGGGGUUUGAAAUUUCUUUGCAUGAGUGGGUUUCCUCUUUCAUUGUUCCUUUUUUUUGUUAAACUUUUCCUUUCAUUUCAAUUUUUACUUUAUUGAAUUUACUGCAUUCUUUUCUUUAUUAUGUUUGGCAAUUGGUUUGGUCAAAUGAGUUUUUCCCAAGUUCUAAGCAUCUACUACCCAAUAUAAAUUAAUGAUUUUUUUUUCGUUUGGUUAAAGAAGGAAUUGAAAAAAAAAAAAAAAAUUGCUGCAGAUUAGGAUGAUUAUGAACAAAUGGGUUUUGUUUGAUGAAAUGCUUCACUUUUUUGUUCUGAUUCCAUGGAAUCAGUUUGAUUGCUGUCACAAAUAUAAUUUGUGAUAUGAUGGAGUUGCUGAAUCUUUCUUUGGAUUUAUCAUGCUUUGCCGUCGGGAGUCCGCUACUGGAGAGUAAAGCUACUACCAUUGCUGUUGACGAGCGAGAGAGAGGGCUCCACCAUCGCGCCGUUACGCCGGACAGCAUCCAUUACCGACGACCACCACCAUCUGCCGUCAAUACCGUCCAGCCACACAGUCCACGUGGCAUGCUCUGUUGCACUGUCUUCGUUUAUUUAUUCAUGUAUACAUUGUGGAACGAAGAUGAUUUAUACACAGUAAGGGAAAUGACGGUUUUAUCCCUCGAA